CAGGAGAUCGGACCAAUACAUCUUAAUUCCUUCAACAAGAGAGGCAGUCCUGCAGAGUGCAGACCCAACAUGAAUUUUAUAAUUACUGCCAUUUCCCUGGCGUUAAUAUGGUCGGUGCUAUUGAUUGCACCCACAUAGGCAUCUUCAAGCCAGUUGGCCCAACACCAGUUAUUUCCUGAACAGGAAAAAUAGAUACUCCAUUUUUCUUGGAAAGUCUGCUGGAUGAUGUUCUUCUUCAGUAAAAUAAAUGAAGGCAAAUUCCCUGAUAAAUGAGACAAAUUCAGAGAGAGGAAGGAGAACUACUGAGCUGCUGAAUUUCUGACAGACAUACUUGCAAGGACUAUGAAGUUCUACUUAGCCUCUUCAAUGAACCAGACUCUAUCUGCUGUAACUGUGACUGCAUGGGAAUCAAAACCUUUUUAUUAUGAUCCUCAUAACAUGAAGCUAACAAACAAGCAACCAUUGAUAAAAAGCCAGAUAUGUCCUUGUUGUGUGUGUGAACCACAAAGCAACCAUCGCUCAUAAGGAUGUUUUUAUAUACAUCAGAUGUUCAUUGUUUCACUGGAAAAAUUGUGAUUUUUUAGUUAUUUAAGAAAUCAUGUUUUAUAAUGUGUUUUAUAAUAUAGUGCAAGUCAUGAUAUAACAGAUUCCCUGCAAAAGAAAGACGGCUCAAAAGAAGACUAUGCUUUGUUUUUAAAAAUGGGAAAAAGUAAUGUAACAAAUGUAUAACUUUGAAUUCUAAUAAUUUCAAAUAGCAGAUUAUGAGGCUAUUGGAGCUUAAUAUUUGACCUUCAAUUUUAUAAUCGUAUUCAUCGU